CCUUGGUCAGAUCUUGUGCCGGAACUCUUGGGCCUUGUCCUGAAGCGCCUCCCUUCCUUAGCGGACCGUGUUCGCCUGAGGGCAGUCUGUCACCCAUGGCGCUCUAAUAGUAUAUCGAAGACCCUUCCCUUUCCAUUCCCUUGGCUCACCCUCUCCGAUGGAACCUUCCUAAGCAUCCCAGGCAGUGAGGUUCACCGCAUGCCUCUACCCGAUGGUGCUCGUGGGCACGGCUCCGUUGACAACAGGCUAUUCCUCAUGAGCAGUGAUGGUGCAUGUUCAUUGGUGAACCCUUUCUCCAAGACCACAUUGGAGCUUCCUAAUCUAGUCACUGUUUGGCAGAGCGAGAUAGAUAACCAUGCUGAACUUGGUCAUUUCCCAGCUGUUUCCUAUAAGUUGGUGGCUCCCUCGUCCCUGGACGCAUCACCAAAGUCCUUUGCUACUGCGCUGAUCAUUGGCAAUGGUUAUUCUCUUGAUCUUUGUAUUAUCCAACCACCUGCCGUCACUUACUCGUUCAGAGGCACAAGAACUGAGGACCCAACAAUAUUAGCGGACCUUGCGUUCUUCAAUGGAAGGCUGUACGUGGUGUCUGAGUUUUUCAAGCUUUUCAUCGUUGAUUUCAGCGAGAACCUUGGUAGUAAGCCAAACAUGGAAUGCCUGAUUGACUCUAUGGGUGAUUAUCACAGAACGCCUCCAUACCUGACUAAAAAGGAGUUCUAUGGACUUUGGCAGCAUUUAGUGGAGUGUGGUGGUAGGCUACUGAUGGUGCAACGAUUUACAAAGUCACAGGGUUUUAGGAAUUCUCAAACUGUUGGAUUUAAUGUCCUUGAGGCAGACUUGCGCACUAACCCUGGUCAGUGGAGACUGGUGAGUGAUUUGGGUGGCCAUGCGCUCUUUCUUGGCAAGCAAAGCUCGAAGUCCCUGCCUGCUGGAGAAAGCAGUGGAUCCCAGGAGGACUGCAUCUACUUCAUCUGCGACUAUCCUUGUCCGGAGGCUUCUGCAGACCCUCUUCGUGAUGCUGGCAUAUAUAACGUGAGAAAUGCGACGAUUAUGCCAUUACUUUCAGGGAAUCCUGCAGUACCGCAGCGCCAAGCCGGCCAGUGGGGCCUGACAUGGUUUUUUCCUCCUGAA
rnacentral:rRNA from 1 species